GAGACAAAUACUAUAUUUCUUACAUUUUAAAAGAAAAUGUCCUUGUUUGUCAAGUUACACUACACAUAAAUUAUAAUUACAACCGCUAGGUAUCGAACAAUUUAUAAUUAAUUAACACCAUUAAUGAAAACUGCUAGUUGUCAUUAGUAAACAGUUAGAAGCUUGUUGUAACCCUUAACCACUAAACCAAAUAUGCCCUAAAGAAAAAGUACAAGCACAGUUGUAAAAAUUACACUCAGUGGAUCGCCUUUAAAAUUAUACUACAUAUUUUAUAUAGGUCAUUACAUCCUUAGCUUAUUCGUUACUAAUUUAAAAAAAAAGGCUAUAAAUUUAUAAUAAAAAAUAUUUGUAAUUGAAAAGGAUUAGAAAUUCAUAUCUAAAUACAAAUUUUUUAUUUAAUUGAAUAGUACAUUUUUAAUAAUAUUUUUAUAAUUAUGUUAAAUAGUUAAUUUUUU
rnacentral:misc_RNA from 1 species